AACUGGUCGAGAGCUGGGCCGCUCUCCUGAUGAGCCCAUGGCAGGGCGAAACCAGUU
rfam:Jatropha curcas cultivar GZQX0401 scaffold593_46, whole genome shotgun sequence.